rnacentral:rRNA from 1 species
GAGUUUGAUCCUGGCUCAGGAUGAACGCUGGCGGCGUGCUUAACACAUGCAAGUCGAACGAACCUUCGGGUUAGUGGCGGACGGGUGAGUAACGCGUGAGAAUCUGCCCUCAGGAGGGGGAUAACGGCUGGAAACGGCCGCUAAUACCCCAUAUGCCGAGAGGUGAAAUGAAUUUCGCCUGAGGAUGAGCUCGCGUCUGAUUAGCUAGUUGGUAAGGUAAGAGCUUACCAAGGCAUCGAUCAGUAGCUGGUCUGAGAGGAUGAUCAGCCACACUGGGACUGAGACACGGCCCAGACUCCUACGGGAGGCAGCAGUGGGGAAUUUUCCGCAAUGGGCGAAAGCCUGACGGGGCAACGCCGCGUGAGGGAUGAAGGCCUCUGGGCUGUAAACCUCUUUUCUCAAGGAAGAAGACAUGACGGUACUUGAGGAAUAAGCCACGGCUAAUUCCGUGCCAGCAGCCGCGGUAAUACGGGAGUGGCAAGCGUUAUCCGGAAUUAUUGGGCGUAAAGCGUCCGCAGGCGGCCUUUUAAGUCUGUUGUUAAAGCGUGGAGCUCAACUCCAUUUCGGCAAUGGAAACUGGGAGGCUGGAGUGUGGUAGGGGCAGAGGGAAUUCCCGGUGUAGCGGUGAAAUGCGUAGAUAUCGGGAAGAACACCAGUGGCGAAGGCGCUCUGCUGGGCCAUAACUGACGCUCAUGGACGAAAGCCAGGGGAGCGAAAGGGAUUAGAUACCCCUGUAGUCCUGGCCGUAAACGAUGAACACUAGGUGUCGGGGGAAUCGACCCCCUCGGUGUCGUAGCCAACGCGUUAAGUGUUCCGCCUGGGGAGUACGCACGCAAGUGUGAAACUCAAAGGAGUUGACGGGGGCCCGCACAAGCGGUGGAGUAUGUGGUUUAAUUCGAUGCAACGCGAAGAACCUUACCAGGGUUUGACAUCCUGCGAAUCCCUUGGAAACUAGGGAGUGCCUUCGGGAGCGCAGAGACAGGUGGUGCAUGGCUCGUCAGCUCGUGUCGUGAGAUGUUGGGUUAAGUCCCGCAACGAGCGCAACCCACGUCUUUAGUUGCCAGCAUUUAGUUGGGCACUCUAGAGAGACCGCCGGUGAUAAACCGGAGGAAGGUGUGGAUGACGUCAAGUCAUCAUGCCCCUUACAUCCUGGGCUACACACGUACUACAAUGCUACGGACAAAGGGCAGCAAACUCGCGAGAGCUAGCAAAUCCCAUAAACCGUGGCUCAGUUCAGAUCGUAGGCUGCAACUCGCCUACGUGAAGGAGGAAUCGCUAGUAAUCGCAGGUCAGCAUACUGCGGUGAAUACGUUCCCGGGCCUUGUAC